rnacentral:rRNA from 1 species
CGGGUGAGUAACGCGUGGGCAACCUGCCGCAUACCGGGGGAUAACACUUAGAAAUAGGUGCUAGUACCGCAUAAGCGCACAGAGCCGCAUGGCUUGGUGUGAAAAAACUCCGGUGGUAUGCGAUGGGCCCGCGUCUGAUUAGCUUGUUGGCGGGGCAGCGGCCCACCAAGGCGACGAUCAGUAGCCGGCCUGAGAGGGUGGACGGCCACAUUGGGACUGAGACACGGCCCAGACUCCUACGGGAGGCAGCAG